UCAAGUAAUUAAGUGCAUGUGGUGGAUGCCUUGGCAGUCAGAGGCGAUGAAAGACGUGAUAGCCUGCGAAAAGCUCCGGGGAGGCGGCAAAUAUCCUUUGAUCCGGAGAUGUCUGAAUGGGGGAACCCACCUACUUUAAGGUAGGUAUUGCAACAUGAAUACAUAGUGUUGCAAGGCGAACGAGGGGAAGUGAAACAUCUCAGUACCCUUAGGAAAAGAAAUCAAUUGAGAUUCCCUCAGUAGCGGCGAGCGAACGGGGAUCAGCCCAUUAAGUUAUGUGUGUUUUAGUGGAACGCUCUGGGAAGUGCGAACGUAGAGGGUGAUAUUCCCGUACACGAAAGGGCACACAUAAUGAUGACGAGUAGGGCGAGGCACGUGAAACCUUGUCUGAAUAUGGGGGGACCAUCCUCCAAGGCUAAAUACUCCUGACUGACCGAUAGUGAACCAGUACCGUGAGGGAAAGGCGAAAAGAACCCCUGUGAGGGGAGUGAAAUAGAUCCUGAAACCGCAUGCAUACAAGCAGUGGGAGCACCUUCGUGGUGUGACUGCGUACCUUUUGUAUAAUGGGUCAGCGACUUAUAUUCAGUAGCGAGGUUAACCGUAUAGGGGAGCCGUAGAGAAAUCGAGUCUUAAUAGGGCGUUUAGUUGCUGGGUAUAGACCCGAAACCAGGCGAUCUAUCCAUGAGCAGGUUGAAGGUUGGGUAACACUAACUGGAGGACCGAACCCACUGUCGUUGAAAAGCCAGGGGAUGACUUGUGGAUAGGGGUGAAAGGCUAAUCAAGCCUGGUGAUAGCUGGUUCUCCCCGAAAGCUAUUUAGGUAGCGCCUCGGACGAAUACCAUAGGGGGUAGAGCACUGUUUCGGCUAGGGGGUCAUCCCGACUUACCAAACCGAUGCAAACUCCGAAUACCUAUGAGUACUAUCCGGGAGACAGACUGCGGGUGCUAACGUCCGUAGUCAAGAGGAAAACAAUCCAGACCGCCAGCUAAGGCCCCAAAAUCAUAGUUAAGUGGGAAACGAUGUGGGAAGGCAUAGACAGCUAGGAGGUUGGCUUAGAAGCAGCCACCCUUUAAAGAAAGCGUAAUAGCUCACUAGUCGAGUCGGCCUGCGCGGAAGAUGUAACGGGGCUAAAACUAUGUGCCGAAGCUGCGGAUGUAUACUUUGUAUACGUGGUAGGGGAGCGUUCUGUAAGCCGAUGAAGGUGUGUUGAGAAGCAUGCUGGAGGUAUCAGAAGUGCGAAUGCUGACGUGAGUAACGACAAAACGGGUGAAAAACCCGUUCGCCGAAAGACCAAGGGUUCCAGUCCAACGUUAAUCGGGGCUGGGUGAGUCGACCCCUAAGGCGAGGCCGAAAGGCGUAGUCGAUGGGAAAAUGGUUAAUAUUCCAUUACUUCUGUGUAAUGCGAUGAGAGGACGGAGAAGGCUAAAUCAGCCUGGCGUUGGUUGUCCAGGUGAAAGGAUGUAGGCAUGUAUCUUAGGCAAAUCCGGGGUACUCUAUGCUGAGAUCUGAUAGCAAGCUGUACUUGUACAGCGAAGUGGUUGAUGCCAUGCUUCCAGGAAAAGUCUCUAAGCUUCAGUUACACAGGAAUCGUACCCGAAACCGACACAGGUGGUCAGGUCGAGUAGACCAAGGCGCUUGAGAGAACUCUGCUGAAGGAACUAGGCAAAAUGGUACCGUAACUUCGGGAGAAGGUACGCUGUUGUUGGUGAUGGAACUCGCUUCCUGAGCUGACGACAGCCGCAGAAACCAGGCCGCUGCAACUGUUUAUUAAAAACAUAGCACUCUGCAAACACGAAAGUGGACGUAUAGGGUGUGAUGCCUGCCCGGUGCUGGAAGGUUAAUUGAUGGGGUUAGCGUAAGCGAAGCUCUUGAUCGAAGCCCCAGUAAACGGCGGCCGUAACUAUAACGGUCCUAAGGUAGCGAAAUUCCUUGUCGGGUAAGUUCCGACCUGCACGAAUGGCAUAAUGAUGGCGGCGCUGUCUCCAGCAGAGGCUCAGUGAAAUCGAAAUCGCUGUGAAGAUGCAGUGUACCCGCGGCUAGACGGAAAGACCCCGUGAACCUUUACUGCAGCUUGACACUGAACUUUGACCUUACUUGUGUAGGAUAGGUGGGAGGCUUUGAAGCUGGAACGCUAGUUCCAGUGGAGCCGUCCUUGAAAUACCACCCUGGUAAUGUUGAGGUUCUAACUCUGUCCCGUGAUCCGGGACGAGGACCGUGUCUGGUGGGUAGUUUGACUGGGGCGGUCUCCUCCUAAAGAGUAACGGAGGAGUACGAAGGUGCGCUCAGCGUGGUCGGAAAUCACGCGUAGAGUAUAAAGGCAAAAGCGCGCUUAACUGCGAGACCCACAAGUCGAGCAGGUACGAAAGUAGGUCUUAGUGAUCCGGGGGUUCUGUAUGGAAGGGCCAUCGCUCAACGGAUAAAAGGUACUCUGGGGAUAACAGGCUGAUACCGCCCAAGAGUUCAUAUCGACGGCGGUGUUUGGCACCUCGAUGUCGGCUCAUCUCAUCCUGGGGCUGAAGCAGGUCCCAAGGGUAUGGCUGUUCGCCAUUUAAAGAGGUACGCGAGCUGGGUUUAGAACGUCGUGAGACAGUUCGGUCCCUAUCUACCGUGGGCGCUGGAAAUUUGAGAGGAUCUGCUCCUAGUACGAGAGGACCAGAGUGGACGAACCUCUGGUGUACCGGUUGUGACGCCAGUCGCAUCGCCGGGUAGCUAUGUUCGGAAGGGAUAACCGCUGAAAGCAUCUAAGCGGGAAGCCUACCUCAAGAUAAGAUUUCCCUAGGACUUUAUGUCCUCUAAAGAGCCGUUCGAGACUAGGACGUUGAUAGGUUGGAUGUGGAAGCAUAGUGAUAUGUGAAGCUGACCAAUACUAAUUGCUCGUGAGGCUUGACUAU
rnacentral:rRNA from 1 species